UGAAGUUUCUUUCCUUGCUAAAGUCGAUAUCCGAGGGUAAUGUCCCCCAAUAUUCGAGGUAGAUCAUAGAGAGAAAUCUCGGAUACUGUUGAUGCAAUUUUUGACACUGAUUCAUGACCGGCCUUCCAUUCUAAGUUAGCACGAUCCACUAUUCCCUCGUUAAAAACCUUGCCGAAAAACCCAUUUGGGACAAAACCGGUUCAAGGAAAAAAGAGUGCAAUGCGUGCUUUCAGACCUAACAUCUUGUAUCGUUCCUUGUUGGUUACCUACAAUUGUUAAUUCAAAAUGUAUAUAAAAUAAAGAAAGGGGCCGUACCUUAGCAGUAAUAUCGUUUCAAGUGAGUUUGUUCUAGUUUUUCGGUAGUCGCUCGCCGUUCAUUGUUCCAAGUUUGUAGGAUCCCUUUCCGGUGAUUUCGAUAAUUUGGUAAGGUCUUUCCUAGUUCGGCCCAACUUCCCUUCGUUUGGGUUUCGGGUGCUCAAUGUGACGUUCUUUAGUACCAAGUCACCGAUAUUGAAGUGUCGAAGGUUGGCCCUUCGAUUGUAAUAUCUCUCGAUCCGCUGUUUUUGGGCGGCCAACCGAACAAGGGCGGCUUCGCGCCUAUCAUAUGAUAGUUCCAGGCUCGUACUCACAGCCUCAUCAUUCGAUUCCUUUAUUGCAUAUCAAAAUCUGAUACUUGAUUCUCCGACUUCGACUGGUAUUAGAGUUUCGACGCCGUAAACCAAUGAGAACGAGGUGGCCCCGGUACUAGAUUUCGAGGUUGUACAAUAUGCCCAUAGGACUUUGGGUAGGAUUUUUUCCAUUUUCCUUUGGCAUCGGUUAACCUCUUUCUAAGGUUUUGGAGUAUGAUUUUGUUGGUCGAUUUUGCUUGUCCAUUCCCACUAGGGUGAUAAGGUGUUGAUAGGAUCCCUUUGAUCUUAUGGUCUUCGAGAAACUUGGUAACUUUGUUGCUGAUUAAUUAUUUCCCGUUGUCACACACGAUCUCGGCCGACAUGCCGAACCGGCAUAUGAUGUGGUCUCAAAUUAAAUCGACGACUUCCUUCUCCCUAACCUUCUCGUAUGCCUGGGCUUCCACCCACUUAGAAAAAUAGUCAGUCAUAAACAAGAUAAAUUGAGCCUUACCGGGUGCCCAUGAAAGGGGCCAACGAUGUUCAUUCCCCACUUCAUGAACGGCCAUGGUAAUAGAACCGAAUGCAGCAGCUCCCUGGUCUGGGUUGGUGAAUCAAUGGAGCAUGUCUUUGGUAUCUAUCACAUUUUCGUAUGAACUCCUUCGCGUCCUUUUCCAUGUCGAUCCAGUAGUAGCCGGCUCUGAUCACCUGUCGAACCAAUGAUUCGGUGCCUAAAUGAUUUCCAAAGGUGUCCUCGUGAACUUCCCUUAGAACGUACUCGGUAUCAUCUAGUCCUAGGCAUAUUGCUAGUGGGCCAUUGCACGUUCUUCUGAAUAGGGUUCUGUCUUCGGACAAGCUAAAGCGGGUUGCCUUUGUAUGUAGGGCCCCUUGAUUCUUUUGGAUCCGAGGGCAGUUUUUCAGUUUUAAGAUAUUCUACAUAUUUGUUUCUCUAGUCCCAAGUCAGGCUUGUAGAGUUUAUCUUGGCAGGACCUUCUUCCACCAACGAUCUCAUGAGUUGCACGACUGCUCCCAAGUUGAGCUCGUCGUCCUCGACCGACAACCCUAAGUUAGCAAGGGCAUCAGCCUCACUAUUUUGAUCCCGGGGCACGUGUUAUAAAGUCCACUCCUUGAACCCGUGUAAUGUUACCUGCAACUUAUCCAGGUAACUUUGCAUACGUUCUUCUCUGACCUCGAAUGUUCUAUUAACUUGGUUUACUACGAGGAGGGAAUCACACUUAGCUUCGAUCACCUCCGCCCCCAAGAUUUUAGCUAGUUCGAGACCUGCAAUCACGUUGUUAGUCAAUUUCACAGUCUUAGUAAAUUGUCUAACUACAUUUACUGUUGGGGGCUUCAAUAUGAUGUCAAGUCCGAAUCCUUUUAUGUUCGAGGUGCCGUCCGUAAAGAGGGUCCAGAUUCCCGAGGAUGUCCCCGAGUUUACCAAAAACUCUCGUUCAACCUCGGGUAUUAGGGCCCUUCUGUCUACACACUUUCGAGAAUAGAAUAGACGAGACAGGCGUGAAGUUGGCCACGAAAUCUGCCAAAAUUUGAGAUUUAAUGGCUCUCUAGGGUCGAUAUUCAAUAUCAUACCCGUUGAUCCAUGGCCCAUUUGGCCAAUCGUCCCGAGAGUUCGGGUUUAUGCAUUAUAUUUCGCAAUGGGUAAGUGGUCAUGACACAUAUAGGAUGGAACUGAAAAUAUGGUUCCAGUUUCUUAGAGGCACUUAGCAAAGCGAGCUCCAAUUUUUCUAGGUGAGGAUAUCUAGUUUCAGCCUCACCUAGAGUCCUGCUAACAUAGUAAAUUGGAAAUUGCGUUCCUUCUUCUUCCCAUACCAGGACUCCACUUACCGCUAUCUCCAAUACUGCUAAGCACAAGUAUAGUUGUUCGUCUGCUUUCGGUGUGAAGUACUGAUGGGAUCGAUAGAUAUCGCUUGAGUUCCUCCAAGGCCUGUUGGCAUUUCGAGUCCACGAAAAGUUGUUCUUCUUUUUUAGUAGCGAGAAGAAUCGGUGACUAUUAUCCGAGGACCUCGAGAUGAAUCGCAGUAAGGCAGCUAUGCGUACAGUUAAUCUUUGCACGGCCUUCACGUUGUCCACGAUCGUGAUAUGUUCGAUAGCUUUGAUCUUGUCGGGGUUGAUCUAGAUUCCACGCUUGGAUACUAUGAACCUGAGGAAUUUACCGGAUCUGACUCCGAACGCACAUUUCUUCGGGUUCAGCUUCAUAUUGUACUUUUUAAAUAUGCUGAAGAUCUCCUACAAAUGUUUUAAAUGGUUCUCUACUCCCAGGGACUUGACCAACAUAUUGUCAAUGUAAACUUCCAUCGAUAAUCCUAUUUGUUCCUUGAACAUCCGAUUUACUAGGUGUUGAUAAGUGGCACUGGCAUUUUUUUAUCCGAAUGGCAUCACAUUAUAGCAGUACGUGCCAUACUUAGUGAUGAAGGAGAUUUUUUCAUGAUCAUUCAGGUCUAUCCGUAUUUGGUUGUACCCCGAAUAGGCGUCGAGAAAAUUGAGGAUCUCGUAGUCGGCGGUGGCAUCGAUCAUGCGAUCGAUGUUGGGCAGAGGGAAAGAGUCCUUGGGACACGCCUUGUUUAAAUCCUUAUAGUCUACACACAUUCUUAAUUUGUUCCCUUUUUAGGUACUACUACUACAUUUGCUAACCAAUCCGGGUAUUUAACCUCCCGAAUGGACCCUAUUUUAAGGAGUUUAGAUACCUCGUCCUUGAUGAAAGCAUGUUUGACCUCGGACUGGGUCUCCUCUUCUACUUGAUUGGAUAGAAUUUCGGGUCCAUGCUUAGCUUGUGAGUGGUUCUCUCUGGCGGGAUCCCUGUCAUAUCAAGAUGGGACCAAGCGAAACAAUCUAUAUUAGCUAUAAGAAAUUGAAUGAGUUUUUUCCUAAGCUCGGGAGUUAAUCCCGUGCCUAGGUAUACCUUCUGAUCGGGUAAAUGCUCGAUCAAUAUGGCUUGUUGUAGCUCCUCGACCGUUGAUUUAGUAGCAUCGCAAUCAUCAGGGACUAUAAAGGAUCAGGGAACCCCGUAAUCAUCGUCUUUAUCAUCCCUUGUUUAUACGAUUGGGUCGUGGCCAGUGUCGGUGAUUGCUAUUUAGCCUCUUGCUUUGUACCCUAACUUGGUUCCUUUGACAUUGUGAAUGUUGAUAUCGGAAUCACUUCUUCGACUGCAAACAUUUCUUUUGAAGCCGGUUUUUCUCCAUAGAUUGUUUUAAUCCCCCUAUGUGUUGGGAAUUUUAACACUUGGUGAGAGUCGAGGGCACUGCCCUCAUGUUGUGGAUCCACGGUCUCCCGAAUAGGGCAUUGUACCUCAUGUCUUCUUCGAUCACAUAAAACUUGGCUUCCUGGAUGGUCCUGGCGGCAUUCACUGGUAAUGUUAUCUUCCCCUUAGUGGUUUCACAUGCCAUGUUUAAUCCAUUCAAAACUCGGACUGCAGGCACGAUUUGGUCUUGCAGACCUAGCUAUUCUACGACCCUCGACUAGAUGAUGUUGGCCGAGCUACCUGGAUCAAUUAACACACGCUUAACUCGAGAUUUAUUUAUGAGUAUAGGUAUUACCAGUGCAUCAUUGUGGGGCUGCAAGAUCCCAUCUGCAUCCUUGUCGUUGAAAGACAAAGUUCCUUCUGGUAUGUAAUCUCGAGUCUAUUUUUCUCUUAUGAUGGAUACGUUGGUGCAUUUUAACAUCGUCCCUUGAGGGACAUCACCCCACUGAUGGCAUGUUAAUGACAUGUUGAUGCUCUUCUUGCGGUCUGUUUGUUAGAAUCCCUAUUUCUGAAAUGAUUCUUGGCUCGGUCGCUCAGGAAUUCUUGAAGGUGUCCGUUGUUGAAUAACCGGGUUACCUCAUCCCGCAACUGUCGGCAAUCCUCUGUUCUAUGGUCGUGAGUGCCAUGAUAUUUGCACAUCUAGUUAGGAUCCCUUUGAGCUAGAUCAGAUUGUAGAGGUCGAGGCCAUUUGUGUUCUUGAUGUGUCUGAUAGCUGAUACGAUGGCAGCAACAUCAUUAUUAAAGUUAUAUUCUGAUAACCUUGGUUCUUCUUUAGGCCUAAUAGGCUUGUCGAAACCGUUCUUGCUCAUGAGACCUCGAGUGCUCUGACCUCGAUCACUCUUCCUUUCAUUUUGCAUUGAAUUUCGUCCAGACCCACUGCUUCUUCGGUCACCAUUGUACGGCUGGUAUCGAUCCCUGUUUGACCUCAGUUCAUGGUCGAUAUCUCUCUUGACUCUGUCGAAGGGUCUGACGGGAUAAACGGACCUGAAAGAAGCCCCAAGUUGAUCAUCUUCGACUCUGAUUUUUGAUUGAUAUCGUUAUGCACACCGGCCCAAGUAACGGCUGGAUACUCUAUCAGAUUCUGCUUUAACUGUUGUAAAGCCACCGAGCUUCGAACAUUGAGUCCUUGGGUGAAAGCUUGAAUGGCCCAAUCAUCAGCUACCGAUAGCAGAUCCAUCCAUUCCAUUUGAAACCGGGACACGAACUCUCUGGAUGUUUCGUUAUCCUUCUAUUUUACCUUGAAAUGUUUCGACUUCCUGGUCUCGACCUUGAUGGCCUCGGCGUGUGCUUUCACGAAAGAGUCUGCAAGCAUAGCAAAUGAGAUAAUAGAAUUAUGGUAAAUUGUGAUAUCAUAUCAUAGCUCCCUUUGACAAGGUCUCUCCGAAUUUCUUCAGCAAGACGGAUUCGAUCUCGUCAUCCUCCAAGUCGUUCCUUUGAUAGCGCAUGUGUAGAAGGUAACAUGCUCGUUUGGGUCGGUCGUUCCAUUAUACUUAGUAAUCUCGGGCAUGCGGAACUUCUUAGGGAUCGGCUUAGGAGCCGCGCUCGGUGGAAAAGGCUUUUGCACGAACUUCUUGGAGUCCAGGCCCUUCAAUAUUGGCGGUGCUCCUAGGAUUUGAUAAACCCUGGAAUUGUAAGUUUCCACCUUCUUAUCAUUUUCCUCGAUUUUCUUAUCCCCCGACUCUAUCUGUUUCGUUAGUUCUUCGAGCAUCUUCAUGAUUGCUGGGUUAGUCCCCGACUCCUUCUCAUUCGAUCUUUCUAAGACUGGUUCAUCUUUGUGGACAACUUCCUCGGAUGGUUCGGGCUCAAUCCUACUCGACGCACGGAUCUGGUUCUAGAGUUGGGCUAUCGCUACCAGUUGAUCUUGCAACAUUUCAAAGAUUACCCGCAAGAUGAUUCCACCAUCUUCGCCAUCAUGUGUGCUUUGUGCAGCCGAUCGAACAUCUCUAUGGACGUUGUCGUCAGGAUCGGUGGGAAAAUUUGCGUUGACGGCUACAUAUGAGCUAAUGUCGAUCGGGUCUGUGGUCGGGACUCUGCAGAGAUUGACUGGAGGCACCUCAUUUCCGAGAGCUGCGUUAUCAGUUUUGCCAUGAUGGUCGGACUCAUUGUCAACAUGUAGGGGUGCUGAUUGAGAGUUCGACAUUUUUAGUUUUAACCUGAAAUCAGAGACACUUCAAAGAACAAGUGUAAAAUAGUGUGUGUUAUGGAAAUUUGUAUCAAAUAACCACUAUUAUCCUUAGCCUCAUAUUGGGCGCCAAGCUAUUUGCCCUCACAAUCGAAUAACAAUUGAAUUUGUAAGUGGUUUUAAUGAUACGUGGAUUAACUUGACACAAAGUGAUGAAUUGAAUUGCAAUUGAAACAAAUAGUGAUAAAAUAAACUCAAACCACAUGAAUUGAACAGUUACAGCUUUGGAAGGUUAGCCACCCUUGAACUGAAUGAACUUCGAUCGGUAUCAGGACACAGUUGAAAUAAGAACUUAAGGAGAAGAAUAAUAUAUUUCUUUGGAAUGCAUGUUAUAAUGUGUUUUACAAGUAAUCAGACCCCCGUUAUAUAGUAGGGGAGUCCUACUUUAGAUACAAUUCUAUAAAAGAUAAAAAUCUCCUGAUUUGCUGAUUUGCCGGUUCCUUAUUGAUACGUGCCGAGAUUCCUGCCGUGAUACCCGACUGGUUACGGAUACUUUGUCUUUCCGUUAUUUCGGUCUUCUGUUGGUUAUACUGGCAAUAUUUCCUCGAGCUCAUUCGAGGUCAGGGUCUCGGGGAUUAUGGACUCAAUGUUCUCGAGGACGGACAUUCUGACCUUGUGUUCUAGUUCGAUGAGACUCGGGGUCGAUCUUCAAUCCAUCAUGUUCAGAGCCCGAUCCGUCAUGUAGUAAACGAGCCCGAUUUCGAUCGUAUACAAGGAUAUAGAGUAAGAAUUUGGCUAAAAUUAUUUAAUAUCCCUCUGAUGGAUUAUUAUAUGUACCAGAAUCAAUCCCAGUAUCAAAAUCACAUGUAAUCUAGACAACUAGCAUAAACGCGAUUUCACGGGUUACCUUUUGAAGCGUGAACGAAGCUCCUUUAUCACAUGAGCCUCUAAUUCCACAGCAACUCAAUGAAUUCACCAUCAUCAGCAUGAUCACGAUUCCCGAAUGUUCCAAGGUCUUCUACUGUGUUACCCAAAUAAUAUCCGAAAAUAGUAAUUUCGUGUGGGCAAAAUUUUCUAGGGAAAAGGGGCUGAAAUUCUGCCACCAUCAUGCUCUCCCCUCUAGGUGGAAAACCUUAUGUAUUUAUAGCACAAGUUUUAAGGGUUAAAACCCUUUUCCAAAACCUGUUGGAUUUUCUUUUCCACCAGAAAAAGGAUUCCUUUAUUUCCUAUUAUUUAGGCACAGCAGAGACCACAUAAUUUAAUUAAUAAGGCUCCAAUUAUGAAAUUAAUUUCUAAUUUUCGAAAUUAAUAUCCAUUAUAAUUAAUUACGAAUUAUUCCACUAAAAAUUCAUAAUUGCACUCCUUAUUCAAUUUCAAAAUUCAUCCAUUAAAUCUUAUUUAACUCCUCAUGUUAAGAUUCGGAUACUAAUCAAUUAAAUUAAAUUACUGACGAUUUAAUGUAUUGAUUAUUUCCUUUAAACUUUCGUUUAACAUAUUUCAUGUGUCGGAUACAAAAUCCACCGGUCGGGUUUACACAUGAAAACUUAUAAGCUUUCAUAAAGGUGUAUCAUCAAUCUCCAAACUGAGACAUGGAUUCCAUCAACUAACUAUUACUUCGUCAAUGUACAUUAUUAUUAUCCAAUUUACCAGGCAUAUUGACCCACGAAAGAAUCUCGCCUUUUAAUAAAUUAAAAUAAUAAUAAUAAUAUACACAACUAAUAAUAAUUAUAUCACGAUUAAGAGUAUAAGUACAUUUAAUGGCUAGAGAGUUUAUUUUAUUAAGUCAGUAUAAAAUACUUAUCUCUACCCAGUCCGUUCAAUACAUACAAAAUGUACUAGCACAAGAAGUUGGAAUUAAACCAUUCUCAUAAUCAAGAUAAAUUAUAUUUAAUCUUGUGCUACAAUCAUCCAUGAUGGUUUGUCCAAUUUCAAUCAUUAUAUUGUGAAUUCAAACUUUAUACUUAUAAGAACCGAUGAUUUAAUCUUCCGUGUAUAAGCUAAACUCUAUAUACUAAAUCAUCUAUUAUAUAAGCAAAGGACACUGACUAAUAUAUGAUCUAUUUAAAACUUUAUUAAAAUUGAAUAAACAAUUAUUCCAUAAUAAAUACUAUAUCUAAGCCAAACCCACGGUUAAUAGUAUAUAUCCCAACAAUCUUCCACUUAGACUUUUGAUCAUGACAAUUAUUAGAAUAUACUAUAAAGUUAUUUCUGAUGCAAUAUUUGUCCAGUAGUGCUUUGUCGUAACCAUCUUGUUUGGUAUUAAACUCUUCAGUGAUCCUGUUACUGAAACUAUCCCAAGAGUGUACACCAAACUAUGAUUUUCUUUAGAAUUCUCCCACUACGACGAAGUACUACUAAUAUUACCUUCAUUACCUUACGGUAUUAAAAUAUUAGUGACUUCUUACUAUAGUGUUCACUUUUCAAAUAUCACUCCCACUUGAUAAAGGCAUAUCAUAUCUAUUAACGUUCUCCCACUACUUAAAUGCAAUGGAACGUCGAUUCCGACGUGUGGGUUUUGAUGUUCUUGAACAUCUAGUUAUUUCUUUGACCAGUUCUUGUAAAAAUAGUUUACUUCUAGAAACAUAUUUUAUUAAACAAUCCUUAUCUAGAAAAAUGCAUUUGUUUUAACAAUUGUCUUAUUUUCUUUAAGACAAAAAAUAAAACUCCAUUCGUUUUCUUGGAUAUUCAAUAAACAUGCACCUAUCCAUUCUUAGUUCCAACUUACAUAUCCGCUUUCCCUUUCAGCACAUAUGCAGGACAAUCUUAUAUUUGAGCAUGCCACAGACCGAGCUUACAUUUAGUCUACAGUUCUAUAGAUGUCCCAGGUACUAACUUAGAAGGAACUAAAUUCAGAAUGUAAUUUACAGUUUCUAGGAAAUAUUUCAAAAAUAAAUAAGGCAAAUCUGAAUAACACGUCAUUAAUCUAUCCAUGUCCAAAAGAGACUUAUUUCUUCUUUCUACUAUACUACUCUAUUAUGGAGUAUACGGUGUAGUCAAUUGAGAUGUAAUCCCUUAUUUUGAUAAGUAACAAAAGAAUCAUUUAGAGAGGUGCUCGCCACUACAAUCAAAUUGCAGUAACUUAAUAUAUUUCCUUGGUGUUUCUCCGUUUCAAGUCUUAAAAAUCUUGAAUUACUUAAUUCAUUAAGACUUACGGUGCAUCAAAUAAAUAUACUAGUAUUUUGAGUAAUUAUUCAUGAACGUUACGAAAAUACUCAAAACAUUCUCUUACCAGUAUGUUCAUUGAACCAUACAAAUCAGAAGGGAUUCAUUCUAACUUAUCACUAGCUUUAUUUCCUUUUGAAUGGAAAUAUCCUUUAGCCAAAUUUCCUUCUAAACAGGAUCCACAAGUUGACAGUGCCUCUACUUUCAAUGAACAUUAAGGUCCAUCCUUGACCAAUUUGAAAUCUUAUCCAAAUUAAUAUGACUUAGACAAAAGUGCACAAAUAAGUUUUUCUCAAUUUUGAAGAACAUAUUCUUUUAUGAGGUAGACUAAUAUUGUUCUGUUCAGGAUAGACAUUAAUAUACAAUAACAAGGUCAUGCAUUCAUGGAUCACAAAAGAUAAAAUGUUUAUCAAGCUCAAUAACUCAAGAGCUAUUCGAAAAAUAAAACAAAUAUUCAUCUCUUAUUUUGCCCAAAAAUCGGAAUUAAAUUCAUUCUAACAAAAGGUACAUAUAUUGCAUCCUUUAAAUUAAUGUCUUAUCACUAAAAGAAAAUUUUAACAAGUAAUACGAUAAAUUUCAUAAAGUCAUUGUGGAGUUGAGAUAAAACAUUUAAUAGAUCAUAAUAAGUUAAAACACUGAAUAGUAAAAUUCAGACUGCAUUCAAUAUUUAUAUACAUACAUGCAUCUCGAAUAAUAAAUUUCGAUGGGAAAAGAAUCAUUCAUGCAAAGUAUAUUAUAUAAUGCAAGAAUUAUACAAUCCAAAAAUAAAUAGGACCAACUCAGAUGGAGAGUAUACUAUUAUUUUCAGUCAAUUGUAUAUAACUUUUUAAUACAAAAAUUUUAAACACACUACACAUAUAUGUCAUGCAUCUUGAAUAGCAAUUUCGAUGGGAAGCAACAUACAUAUGUAAUGCCAGAUUAUUAACUCCAAUAAUUAAAACAGGCCCAACUCAGAUGGAGAGUAUACUGUUAAUUUAAGUUAAGUGAACACCAUAAUUAAUAGCUCUAGUUCCAUUGAUCCAACAUGUAUACUCAGAUGGAGAGUAAGUACACGAUAUCAAUUACUAGUAUUUCACCUAGUGAGCUUACAACAAAUUUAUCCAAUACGGAGGAAGACCUAAAGUCAACGCGUAAAUUUAUUACUAACUUUAAAUUAAUAGUGAAAGACCAUAGAAAUAUAAUUCUAUCACCAUUUAAUCGUGAUUAUAUCUUAGUUACAAAAUUGAUUCAACCCUCAAACUCAGAUGGAGAGCCAAUACACGUUAUCAAUAACUAGUAACUAUGCCUAGUGAGUUCAUAAUAAAUUUAUCCGAUAUGAAGGAAGACCUAAUGUCAACACAUAAAUUUAUUAUCUCACUAUAAAUAAAAAAUGGAGACCAUAGGAGUUAAUUCCUAUCACCACUUUACCAUAACCAAGAACUUUUCUUUGAGGAUUAAGUUUCAUAAUAAAAAAAAUGCUCAAUACCCCAUUUAAAUAGUCUUAAAAUUCUAAAAUUAAUGGUUUUUACUACAUAGCAGUGAGUAUUGUUCACUGGGCUAUUUCUGAUAAACCUACCAAAUUUCAGAUCAAUCGAAGAUCGCUAAAAUCACAAUCUCCAAAAAUUGCAACCAAAUUUGAAAAAAUACCAUUUUAAGAAUUUUUUAAGAAUUUAAAAUAUGACCUACAUUCUUAUCAUAUACCAAUUCAUGUCAAAUCAACAUGUGUUAUCAUGUUCCAGAUUAGACAUAAAUAAAAUGAUAGAAAGAAUAAUUUUUCGUUUGUAAAUCACAUUUUAAUCCGCCAAAACUCCAAAAAACUCAUCUAAACGAUCUCGAAUCGUCAAAAUAUGAUGUGAUUCACUGCAUAGCAGUGAGUUCUUCUUAACUGAUCGUUUUCGAUUAUCCUACUGAAUUUCAGGUCAUUCAGAGAUCGUGAAAUUCACGAUCGCCAAAAACUUGACCAAAUUCGAUUAAAUUAUUUUUGGCAUAUUUAGGAUUAAAUCCAUGUGAUUUGCAUUCUUUCUAUAUAUCAUAUCAAGUUAAAUCAUCAUGUUUCAGAUUUAACACAAAUAUAGCCUAUAUAUAAAAAAUAAUUUUUUCAUAUUUAUAACAAAUUCAAUUUAAUAAACUGCUUGAAAACCCAUCUAAACAACCCCAAAAUGUCGAAAAACAACAUGAUUCACUGCAUAGCAGUGAGUUUUUCUCACUAGAUCGUUUUCGAUGAACCUACCAAGUUUCAAGUCAAUCGAAGUCCAUCAAAUUCAUGACCACCAGCCUGUAACCAAACUCGAAAAAUAACCGUUUUAAGAAGUUUCAUGAAUUAAAAUAAAUAUAAUAUUGAUUUCCAUUCUCCUUAUUAUUAUACUAUGAACUCAAGGCAUAUAUUGUGUUCUUCCUAUUUCUAGAAUACAUAAUAUCUCCUUUUGCAAUAAAUUAUCCUUUUAUUAAAUACACAAGAACCUAAGAUAUUAUAUUUUCUCCCGUUCGGUAAAAAUUCUAAUAUCUCUUCUCAUGGGUGGAGUUAGUUUCACUAGUACCCAAAGACAAACCUCUUUUUCUAGUUAAGAACCUCCACCAUUAAUGCAGAUUUCUCAAGAAUAAUUUUCACAUGAUAUAUUAAGCAGAUUUUAAUGACUCAAAUAAAUAGACCAUUUUGUGGAUCCUACUUAUUAAUCAUAAUGCUCAAUCUAUGAAUAGACAUAAUUUCACAUGUACAAAUUUACUAAACAAAAUUCAUGAGUUCAAAUAAACAAACCACUUCAAUGGUAACUAUUUAUUACUCAUAAAAUUCUCAAUUUACAAGUGAAUAUAUAUCUAGCUCAUAAAAUUAUUUUAUGGCAAAAUAUAGGCCAUAGCUUAAAAGUCAUACCAACAAUAUAAAACUCAUAUAAAAUACCAUCAUAUUUCACUUAAUUAGAACCUCCAAUCAGAGAACAAAAUUCUUCAUCGAAAAUCCAAAACUAGUAAUCACAUAGGGCAUGAAAACAUAAAUUAAAAUUUGAGAAAUUUUUUAUGCACAAAUAUGCCAAACGCUCCAAUCAUUAGUCAUCCAGGAUAUCAAAUAGAGGAUUUCACUUUCUUACAAAAUAAUUAUAUCAUCACACAAUAUCAAUUAUACCUUGUAAGACCUAGUCAAUAAAAUCUUGCACCUCUAUUAUUGAAUUUAAUUCAACAACAUGUCUAUUUACUAAUAGCCAAUGUGUAAACCUAUUAUAUCACCAGUAUUUAAUCAUGGAGACCAUGGGGAGUCACCACCACCACCAUUGAAUUAAAAACGAAUUAAAAUUAUUAAAAAAUAAUUUUCAUAAAAUAGAAAAACGUCCAAAACACAGUUCAAACGGCCUCAAAACGCCGAAAAAUACCAUGACUCACUGCUAUGCAAUGAGUUUUUCUCACCACGUCAUUUGCGAUGGACCAACCAAAUUUCAGCUCAAUCGGAGUCCGUUAUGUUUGCUGACCUCCGAAAAUACUGGCAAUUGGGUCAAAAUUAGGUUUUGCGUUUUUCUAUGGUUUACCAAAAAAUAUCCAGAUCCUCCCAAUCAAACAUUAAUAUAAACCAGAUAUUUCAUGAUUACAAGAAUAAUACAAAUUUUUUGCACAGUUAAUUCACAAAACAGCAGUGCAAUUUUUCAGAAAACCACAUAUACAUGUAAUUCAAAAGCGCACAUAAACAUGAUAUUCUUGUUUCAUGAAAAAACUUAGUUAUCUAAUUAGAUGUGAGUGGGCUCUGAUACCAAUUGAUAGAUUAUUAUAUGCAGCGGAAGCAAUCCUAGUAUCAAAAUCACAUGUAAUCAAGAUAAAUAGCAUAAACGGGACUUCACGGGUUACCUCUUGAAGCGUGAACGAAGCUUCUUUAUCACAUGAGCCUCUAAUUCCACAGCAACUCAAUGAAUUCACCAUCAUCAGCACGAUCAUGAUUCCCGAACGUUCCACGGUCUUCUACUGUGUUACCCAAAUAAUAUCCGAAAAUAGUAAUUUCGUGUGGGCGAAAUUUUCUAGGGAAAAGGGGCUGAAAUUCGGCCACCAUCAUGCUCUCCCCUCUAGGUGGAAAACCUUAUGUAUUUAUAGCACAAGUUUUAAGGUUAAACCCCUUUUCCAAAACUUGUUGGGUUUUCUUUUCUAUCAGAAAAAAGAUUCCUUUAUUUCCUAUUAUUUAGGCAUAUCAGGGACCACAUAAUUUAAUUAACAAGGCUCUAAUUAUGGAAUUAAUUUCUAAUUUUCGAAAUUAGUAUCCACCAUAAUUAAUUACGAAUUAUUCCACUAAAAAUUCGUAAUUGCACUCCUUAUUCAAUUUUGAAAUCCAUCCAUUAAAUCUUAAUUAACUCCUCAUGUUAAGAUUAAGAUACUAAUCAAUUAAAUUAAAUUACUGACGAUUUAAUUUAUUGAUUAUUUCCUUUAAACUUUCGCUUAACUUAUUUCAUGUGUUGGAUACAAAAUUCACUGGCCGGGUUUACACAUAAAAACUUAUAAGCUUUCAUAAAGGUGUAUCAUCAAUCUCCAAACCGAGACAUGGAUUCCAUCAACUAACUAUUACUUCGCCAAUAUACGUACAUUAUUAUUAUCUAAUUUACCAGGCAUAUUGACCCACGAAAGAAUCUCGCCUUUUAAUAAAUCAAAAUAAAAAUAAUAUACGCAACUAAUAAUAAUUAUAUCAAGAUGAAGAGUAUAAGUAUAUUUAAUGGAUAAAGGUUUAUUUUAUUAGGUCAGUAUAAAAUACUUAUUUCUACCUGGUCCAUUCAAUACAUACAAAAUGUACUAGCACAAGAAGUUGGAAUUAAACCAUUCUCAUAAUCAAGAUAAAUUAUAUUUAAUCUUGUGCUACAAUCAUCCAUGAUGGUUUGUCCAAUUCCAUCAUUAGAUUGUGAACUCAAACUUUAUACUUAUAAGAACUGAUGAUUUAAUCUUCCGUGUAUAAGCUAAACUCUAUAUAGUAAAUCAUUUACUAUAUAAGAAAAGGACACAGACUAAUAUAUGAUCUAUUUAAAACUUUAUUAAAAUUGAAUAAACAAUACUAAACUCAUGAUUAAUAGUAUAUAUCCCAACAUCCUCUAUUUCAAGAAAUGCUAGACAGUAGGCACAAUGACGGAGCUACAUAAACUUAGGAGUAAUCAGUUAAACAUCUUUUGUCAAAAAGUAUACUGUGUAUAUAAUUCGAAUAUUGCUUUUAAUAAAUACAUACUAUUAAAUCUUGAACUUUUUUAACUAAACUCUUAAUUGCCAUUAACUAGUUACUAUCUCUAUAUAUGAUGUACGCAUUUUUGUGUAAAGCACCUAUUGCCUCUGAUGUCCAAAAUGUGCAUAUUACUCCCUUAUCACACUACCAAUAAGAUCUUAAUGUUCUUUAAUUUAGAUUGAAACUCGAUAAGAACAUGACUACAUCCAACUAGUUUUUAGUGUAUUUCCCACUACUAUAGUACACAAGAAUAUUGAUUUCACUAAUUUAUAUUUAGGCGGGAGGUCCUUUUCCAUUUCACAAUAGAGGCCAAUCCCCACAUUAGUUGUGUUAAACCAAUGGUAACUUAGAAGUACUUCGCCAUUAUUUACUUCUAACAAAUAAAACCAACCUUUUCUAUCUCAAGGUUUUCGUCAAUUUUUUUUUUACUUCUCAAGAGUUAUUAUUUUUUCAAUAAAAGAGUCUAUUAAAUGAUCUUAUAAAUAUAAUAUAAUGUCCAACGCAUUUUGCAUAUUUAUAUAAAUUUCAAAUUCUUAACUGCUUAUCGAGUGGUAUUUUCAGGUAAUAUAUCAUUUUUAUCAUUUCAUCAUAAGUAUCAUGAAAUUUAUUCAUAAAACGACUUUGACUAAAAUCUAAGUUGACAUUGCGAGCUAAAUAUGGAAAUAAUGGGACGGAGACAAUAUUCUGAAAGACUAAUUUCUUCACCUUUUUGGCAACAUCAAUCAUAAGACUAGGUCAACUGUUCCUUCAUCCAGAAGGUGAAGAAAUUUUUUUCACCAGAAGUCAAUUUUGUACUAUUAUUACUUAUGCUUGAUAUCCACUCUCAAUAGAUACUGCUCCUUAAACAAUAUGAAAUGGUUGCAACUAGAAUGAAGGGAAUAAUUUUGUUUGGUUCGAUAAUGGAAUCAAUAACUUUUUCUAACAGGAAAGUAUGGGGAGCAAACAUGACAUUUUUUACGCACCCUUUGAGUCCUUGACUCGAGGAACUCGAAAGGUUUUUUUUUUGACAAGCAAAAUAAAUAAAUAAAUAUAUAUAUAUAUAUAUAGUAUGGGGAGACAAACNNNNNNNNNNNNNNNNNNNNNNNNNNNNNNNNNNNNNNNNNNNNNNNNNNNNNNNNNNNNNNNNNNNNNNNNNNNNNNNNNNNNNNNNNNNNNNNNNNNNNNNNNNNNNNNNNNNNNNNNNNNNNNNNNNNNNNNNNNNNNNNNNNNNNNNNNNNNNNNNNNNNNNNNNNNNNNNNNNNNNNNNNNNNNNNNNNNNNNNNNNNNNNNNNNNNNNNNNNNNNNNNNNNNNNNNNNNNNNNNNNNNNNNNNNNNNNNNNNNNNNNNNNNNNNNNNNNNNNNNNNNNNNNNNNNGGGGAGCAAACAUGACAUUUUUUACGCACCCUUGAGUCCUUGACUCGAGGAACUCGAAAGGAUUUUUUUUUUGACAAGCAGAAUAGAUAUAUAUAUAUAUAUAGUUACCUAAUAUUGUUUGUUACAUCAUCAUCGAUAAUAGUAGUCCUAAGGACGUUGAUAUUGCCUAGCUUGGCAAGAUUACAUCAAACUUUAGUAGAUAGUUUUUUCACAAAAUAAACAUAGCCAACCCUAUCUGCAUCUCACUUAUUUAAAUAUAAGUAGGUGGCCUAUCCAGUAGUAGGUGUUCCUUGUGAUUUUCAGAGCUUCCUUCACCAGUCCAUGUGUAAUUUGAUUUCCAUUUCUGAAGUUAUGUUGUAUUGUUAGCUACUUCAGCUGGUGCAUUAACCACCUGCAAUAAUUGACAAUCAUAUAAUAUGAUUCGUUACUUUGUUUUAAAGUUUUAAUUACCUUCGUUGAAUCUGUUUUUAUGACCAGUGGUGUAAGGCCUUUAGUCAUGGCUAUGUAGAGACCCUCUUUGAGUGCUUCCAAUUCAGCUUGGAGGGGAGAUGAGGCUAGACAAUGGUGUUGAAAACCCAUAAUCCAUUGGCCAUUACUAUCUCUGAAUGAACCUCCCAAUCCUGCUAAGUUAUCUCUCUUUCUGAAAGCACCAUCGAUGUUGAGGGAACCUUUAUGGGGUUUGUGCCACGCAACCAUAAUUGCAUGUUUCUGAGCCGUUGUAAGCUCUCUUUGGGUUAGUAGUUUAUAUUCAACUGCUAACAUAAUGGAACAAUUGAGGGUGAAUUUGAAGGAGGUGUUCUCCACAUUGUUUUUAUUACGGUUUAAUCAAAUAUUCCAAAUACAACAACAACAAUAAUAAUUCAGUAAAAUUUUACCAGUGGGGUCUGGGGAGGGUAGAGUGUACGCAGACCUUACCCCUACUCCGGAGGGGGUAGAAAGGUUGUUUUCGGGAGACCCUCAACUCAGAGUUAAUAGAUAUGUGACAACAAAAACCCGAAAAAUAAUAUCAACAACGUGAGAGACAGCAAAUAAAUGAAAAGGCAGUAACACAAAUAUUAUGUAAAAGUGUGAAAUACAACAUAAAUCGCUAGCAGUGUUAGACAAAACACUAUCAUACUAGCCGGUACAAAGAGGGAAACCGGGACAAAGAGGAAAAUCGCUCGACUACCCCUUAACCUGCAACCUUAAUGCUCGACCUCCACACAUUCCUAUCAAGAGCCAUGUCCUCGAAAAUUUGGAGUCGCGCCAUGUCCUGUCUGAUCAUCUCGCCCCAAUACUUCUUAGGCCGCCCUCUACCUCUUCUCGUACAUGCCAAAGCCAACCGCUCACACCUUCUAACCGGGGUAUUUAGGCUUCUCCUCUGUACGUGCCCGAACCAUUCAAGCCGCGCUUCCCGCAUCUUGUUGUCCACCGGAGUCACGCCCACCCUCUCCCGAAUAUCUUCAUUCCUAAUCUUAUCUAGCCUAGUAUUCCCAUACAUCCAUCUCAACAUUCUCAUUUCUGCUACUUUCAUCUUCUAGAUAUGUGAAUUCUUGACUGGCCAACACUCAGCCCCAUUCAACAUAGCCGGUCUAACCACCGCUCUGUAGAACUUACCUUUGAGUUUCGAUAGCACAUUCUUGUCACACAGGACUCCAGACGCUAACCUCCAUUUCAUCCACCCCACCCCGAUACGGUGCGUAACAUCCCUGUCGAUCUCCCCAAAGGGAAAUAGCUCUAUCCAAGCGACAAUUUUUGAUAGAUUCGGGGUAUUAAGAUCUCUUAGAAUUGUGAGUCAAUGGGAAGUGUUGAGAUUUGCACAGUCUUUAUAGCCUAUUAAUUCCUAGAAAUCAUGAAUAGAUAUACAAUCAAGAAAGAUGUGUUCAAUGGAUUCUUUCCCUGAUUUGCACACGGGACAUAUGGGGUCGAUGUUUAUACCAAUGUAUUGGAGGUAGGCAUGAGUUGGCAGCUUGUUAUGGAGACAUUUUCAUAAAAAAAAAUUAAUUUUAUUCGGGCAUUGGAGAUCCCAAAUCCAGGUGAAAUCUAUAUCAAUAGGAUCUUGUGGGUUAACCAGAUUGUAACAACUUUUAUAGGUAAAUUUACCAUUACUAGUUAGGGCCCAGGUCGGUAACAAACUUUUAUAGGUAAAUUUACCAUUACUAGUUAGGGCCCAGGUCGGUCGUCUCUGGGGCAGUACUUUGGAUAAAUAGAUAGAAUGUUGUUGCUUAUGGGAUGAGGUAGGUCAAAAGGAAUUUUUUUGAGAUCCCAUUUGUUGUUAAUCCAAAUGUCUCUUAUGGUAAGAUUGUUGGCCUCUUUUGUAAUAGGACCUUCAAUGGUUAAUCUAAAAUUUGGAUAAUUAGGAAUCCAAUUAGAUUGCCAAAUAUUCAGGUUUGAACAGUUAUUAAGGAUCCAGUUAAUACCUUUAUUACAUAUUCCCCAGCCCUUUACUAUGCUUUUUCAAAUGAAGGAGGAGUAUUUUAUAUUAGUGGUAUAACCAUAAAGGGAGAAGAGGAUAGUGAGUCAAGGGGAGUGAGUAUAUUGAAUUAAUCUCCAAGAGAGAUUUGCUACGUUAACAAUAUUUUUGUCCCUCGCAGCACGAAUUCCUAGGCCCUAUAUUUCUUUGCACUAGUUAAAGUUUUCCAAUUGAUGAGGUGGAUUUUCUUUUUAUAUUGUUAGUAUCCCAGAUAAAAUUUUUUUGGAUCCUAUCGAUGUGCUUGAGAAUAUUAGUGGGUAGGAAGUUGUAUUGCAUAAUGCGAUUAGGCAUACUAAUUAGAACUGAGUUUACUAAAGUUGUUCUGCCAUAAAAUUGAGGAAAUUUGAUUUCCACGAGGCCAGUCUCCUAGUCAUGUUAUCAAGAAUAAAUUAAUAGUCAAACAAUUUGGGCUUUGUAUUGAUAAUUGGGAAUCCUAGAUACUUCCUAAAUGUUUUGCUAAUUUUAAUACCAUAGAGAUUUGCUAGAGAUUUGGCAGUUGCUAUAGGACUGUUUUUGGAGACUAUAAUUUUUUAUUUAUGAUAAUUAAUUUUCUGCUCCGAUAGAGAGCAGAAAUUAUUAAGGCAUGAGAGAAUAGUGCUAGGAGAAUUUCUAUCAAUGUUGCACAUAAACGUAAGGUCGUCCGCAUAGAAUAGAUGGGAUAAAGGAUAAUUAUUUUUCCCAAUCUUAAUAGGAGUCCAUGAAUUAAUGUCAACAUUGUGAGAAAUUUGGGUAGAUAGCAUAUCCAUGCAAAGGAUAAAGAUAUAUGGAGACAAGGGAUCACCUUGUCUUAUACCUCUGCUAGGAUUUAAAAAAAAUUACUAUUGCUACCAUUUACCAAGAUGGAGAUUCUGCUAGUGGUAAUGCAGUGCAUGAUUAGUUUGGAGAUCUUUGGGGGGAAUUUGAAGUGACAAAGGGUUCUAUAGAUAAAAGACCAUUCCAAAUGGUCAAAGGCUUUUUCAAGAUCAAUCUUUAAAACCAUAUUUGAUUUGGAACUUUUAUACUUGUGCAUUCUUAAAAUGAGCUCUUGAAUAAUAAUUGUGUUAUCACUAGCUCGUCUGCCCUUUAGGAAACUAGCUUGGUAGGGACUGAUAAUUUUUGCUAGGAAGGGUUUUAAUCUAUUAGCAAUGAUCUUGGUAAUCCCUUUGUAAAUGGUGUUACAUAAACCAAUUGGACGAAAUUUUUUGAGGUCGUUAGCAUUAGGAACUUUUGGUAUGAGACAUAAGUAGGCGUCAUUGGUGCCUUCGGCAGAGUGCCUGAUUCAAAAGCAUUUAGAUAGAGGUUGGUAACCGAUGUUUUAAUCAGAUGCCAAAUUUUUGGAAGAAAAAGAGGUGUAAACCAUCGGGACUAGGGGAUUUAAAAGGCUUGAACGAGAAAAUAGCACCUCUUAUUUCAUGUUAACAUAUGGGAUUGUCAAGAGAUGAUAGGUCUAUAUUUUUGUGACUAGUAGUGUCGCAUUUGAUAGAUUUUCAGUUAGAGUUGUCAUGAUUCAUCGUGAAUAUUUGUUGAAAAUAGGAUUUGGUGUGGUCCAUAAUUUUUAAGGGUUCAUCAAUCCAAUUUUCUUCUGAAUCCUUGAAGGAAACAAUUUUAUUAAUCUGUCUUUUGUUGGUAGCACUAUGAUGGAAAAAUUUUGAGUUGCAAUCACCCUUAUUAAGCCAGUGAAUUCUAGAUCUAAGUUUUCAGUAUUCUUCUUCCAUCUUGAGGCAAUUGUUCAAUUCAUUUUUGAGAUUGACCUCUAGAUUUGUCAAGAAAGGGCUGUAAUCAUAUGCCUUAGAAUUUUGAAUGUCAUUCAGCCUUGUUAAUAGUUUGUUUUUCUUUUUGAAAAGGUCCCCAAACCAACUAUUUUUUACUAUGGUAACAAAAUCUGGUUGCCCCGUCCAAAAGGAUUCUAAUCUAAAUGGUUUUGGGAGCAGGUUAUUAUUUUUAGAAAUUAAUUCUAGUAGAAUGGGGUUAUGAUCCAAGUGUGUUUUUGGGAGGUGAAUAACGGAGGUUUUAGGGAAUAGAUUGAUCCAAGAAUCGUUAGUAAAGAUUUUAUCAAUCCUUUCCAUUAUACGGUUUGAUCUAUGUUUUCUAUUAUUUGACCAAGUAAAUCUACAACCUUUAAAUCCUAAAUUCAUCAGCUUACAAUAAUUUAUCUUAGCCCAAAUUUUUGAAGCACGCCUCCUACUAAUAGGGUUCCCACCAAACUUUUCAUUAGCUUUUAAAACAUCAUUAAAAUCUCCCCUAAUAUCCAUGGACCUUUGUACUUAUCAAAUAUACCACAAAUAUUAUCCCACGUUAGAUUUCUAGUUGUAAUAUAAUAGCAUAUAACGAAUAGGAGGUACUUCGAUUAAGGCAUGGAUUUCAUUGUUCCUCCUGACAAAGUUAUUGACAUUCACCAAAUUUGUAUCCCAUAAGACUACCAAUCCACCAGAUUGACCCUCAUCUGGAACUUCAAUCAUGUCUGAGAAGCCAAACUCAUUCAUUAAACAACCAUGACUAGACAUUCUAGUUUCAAGAAGGGUAACCAUACAUGGGUGGUGAGAGUUAAUCAAGUCACGAAAAUUCCUUUUAUAGUCAUCAUUGUUACCUCCCCUAAUAAUCCAGAUAAUUAUAGUUCUAGCAUGAUUCAUGAAGUGAGUCUGUGGUUGGUGGUGGCCAUUCAUCUGACUUCAUACAGGGAAUAUUGGAUUCCUCUUUAAGCUUUGCACUAAGAUCAUUGCAUUCUUCCCCACUGUGGGAUCCUGGGGUGGACAGAUGUCCAUAGUGCAUUUGAAGAGUAAAUUUGGGCAGGAUAAUAUGAGCCUCUUCUCUCGCAUCUUCUCGAAUAGAUAUACUUUGACUUCAUCUAGGUUUGAGGAUUCCACCAUUAAUUCUCCUGUUAUGUCUAUUGGUUCUUCCAUUCCUUCCCUCAUUGGGUUUCCUACAUCUUGAGGAAAUGGAGCUUGUGGAGCCUGAUGCCCCAUGUUCCCUAUGUUCACUGGCAUUUGGGCUUGCAUGUUAUUUUGGGUCGGAUCCCAUGGCAUCAGCACUGCGUUUAGGGUAGUCAAUUCUUGUGGAGGGAAUAAAGGGAGAUCCAACCUCAUAUUUUGUGGUAAGUAUGGGUUCUGGUUGAAGUGAGGAGGUAGGUUCCACUGGGCAUGCAUUAUUUGGAUUAGAUUGGUGUUCAUACCCAGGGCUAGUGGUUGCAUUAUGUUGUUGACCCAAAUUUGGUUUAUGUAAUUGUUCAUAGAUAGGUGAAGGCCCUCGGAUACUAGUUGUGCAAGACAUUGAGCGUUUUGGAUUAGUAUUAUGCUCUCUUGGCCAUUGAGGUUGAGUUGGAGUGAAACAGCUCUCCCCUUUAACCUUUAAUCUCAGUUCUAUCCAAGAGGUUGGAUGUUGAUCACUUUAAAAUUAAAUAAGGAGUCUUUAGGCAAAUUACAAUUUUGAUCAAUUUCAAUUUAAUCGGACUCGAUUAUAUAAAGAUAUGUAUCCAUAAAAGAUAAUUUGUAAAUUUCUACUAUCAUAGUUUUCAUGACAUAAUUUGUAAAUUUCUACCAUCAUAGUUUUCAUGACAUUUGUUUUGCUAGUUUUAUGCCAUUAAUUAAUUGUAGCGACUUUUGUUAUCACCUAAAUUAGCCUAUGUUUGGGGGUGGGGGUGUUGAAGGAAUACGACGUUAGGAGGGAUUUUUGAUUUCCUUUCCUUUUUUGAGAGUGUCACCGUUACUAAAAGGUAAGUUUUAUAGAGCAGUGGUUAGACCUGCCAUGUUGUAUGGGACUGAGUGUUGGCCGGUUAAGAACUCACACAUCCAGAAGAUGAAAGUAGCAGAGAUGAGGAUGUUGAGGUAGAUGUGCGGGCAUACAAGGAUAAAUAAAAUUAGGAAUGAAGAUAUUCGAGAGAAGGUGGGCGUGGCCCCCAUGGAGGACAAGAUGUUGGAAGCAAGACUCAGAUGGUUCAGGCACAUUCAGAGGAGGAGCACUGAUGCACCGGUGAGGAGGUGUGAGCGACUGGCUGUGGUAGGCACAAGGAGAGGUAGAGGGCGACCUAAGAAGUAUUGGGGAGAGGUGAUCAGGCAGGACAUGGUGCGACUUAGGAUUACUGAGGACAUGGCCCUUGACAGGGAAUUGUGGAGGUCGAGCAUUAAGGUUGUAGGUUAGGGGGAAGUUGUGAAUAUUUCUAUAGCGCACUAGAGUGAGACUAGUCAGUUAGGAGUUAGUCUUAGGAUGCUACUGGUCAUCUACUGAUGCAGGGCUUUAUCUGCUGGUUAUUAUUAUACCUUCCACCUAUUCCGUAUUUCUUAUAUUGCUGUUAUUUUAUUAUGAUUCUAUUGAUGGUACUAAUAUAUCGUAUCUUGUUGCUUUCUUGAGCCGAGGGUCUCCUGGAAACAGUCUCUCUGCCCCUCGGGGUUGGGAUAAGGUCUGCGUACAUAUUACCCUCCUCAAACCUCACUUGUGGAAUUAUACUGGACCGUUGUUGUUGUUUCCUUUCUUGAGAGAAAAGGCGGAGUACUGGUUGCGAUAUGUAAAAUUGUACCAAUAGAAUUAAAAGAAAAGGAAAAGAAAAAGGGAACAGUUUCUAGUAUUUUUCUUAGAAAUAUGUCUAACAUAUAUAAUUUGACCAAUUUUCCAUACAGAAGAAGAUGACAAAUUUUUUUCCUUGAAAAUAAGAGUCGUAGGAAGAUAAAAAUCUAAAAAAUAUUGUCUUGAUCCAACUUGGAGGUCGCGAAAUGCACAUUAUGAGUUUCAACUUUCUUGGGGCAGCACUUUUUUGAAUUCGUUAUUCCCUAAAUGGGCAGUUUAAUUACUUUUUCAUGAAUUAAUAAUAUUAGCAUUAUUUAUGUCCUCGACGAGUUUUCAUACUUGGAAAAUUAUCUGUAAUAGUAUCAUUACUUACACUACAAAAUAUCUUACGCUAUAUAUAGCAAGCUAAAAAUUACUAAAAAUUCUUCAUCCAAAUUAUUACGUAGAUAUUUUUACGUACUUGAUAUUUGGCCAGAAUUCUAUAUUUUUAGUACAUUACUCGCCUUAUAUUUUAUUAGUUUAAUGGUUAAUUGUGCGAUAAAUGAGCUGAAUUAUAUUAUUUUAUAUGUAGGAGUAUCGGAAGAAAGAGUCGAAUGAAAGUUGCACGAAAAGAGGACGAAAAUGCAAGUAAAUAGCACAAAAAUAGAACUACCCAAGCCUGGCUAUAGUCUAGGCGUAGCCAACUCUAUAGCCAGCUUGACCGCGCUACAAGUCAGGCAUAGCCAGCUUGGCCGCGCUAUAGGCCUCGCCUCGCGAGAUCCCAGACACGCUACAAGCCUGGCCUCGUAAGGUCAGGCGCCCAGUGGUCAAAAGUUCACGAAUUAAAAUACUCCAACCUAGAUUUGGACUCAAGGACCUCUAGCCUAACAUAUAAAUACUCCCUCAAUAAGUUGAGGAAGGGGAGGCAUUAUUUUGGAAAAGAAAAAGACCAUAGAGUAUUGUGGAGCAAGGAAUCAAAUGAGUUUUCCCUCCAUUUCUCUUUACUUUGUAGUUUAAUAUCUUUGAACAUCAUGAUUUGUCUAUAUAUUUAUGAGUGGCUAAACUUUCUCAUCUAGUGUUUGAUGUAACCUAUUGAGGAUGAUUUUCUACUGCGUUUAAUAUAAAUUUGUCUUUGACUUUUUUCUACUUGUCAACUACGUUUUUAUUGUUGUUGAUUAAAGAGCUCUCAAUUGACUGUGCAUAUUUAGUGUAUAUUGCUUGAAAAAUGAUACACAUUUAGGUAGUUGUUGAACAACAUCACUCUUAACGUAUAUGAGGAAUCAAUACAGAGUGUUUAAAGGUGGGAUUAGGAAUAACGAAACCUUGGUGCGAUCAUAGUGAGCGGUAAAUUAGUGUCAGCUAGCGUAAUUUGGAAGAAUAAGUCUAGUAAAUUAUGGUAGUUGCUCGGAAGAGACUUACAAGACCCAAAGUAUCCACGACCGGUAGAGAAUACUUAGGCGAAUUUGUAUGAAACAUAGUGGGGAGGAUUCCAAUAAUAGAGAAAAUCAUAACCCUAGACUUCUCCAAUCUUGUCUACAGUAUUUGUUCUGUUAGUUAUAAAUUACAGCAUUUUAAUUACUUUGCUCUUGUAGGAAACACUCGAACCAUUAUUUAAUAUUUAUGAAGGUUAAUUAUUUGAAUUCUUGCGAAACUAGUGAUCGUGAUUAUUAGGUUAAUUCCUUGUGGGAUUCGACUCCGGACUUGUAAACUGUAUUAUAUUUGCAACGACCGCUACACCUCGAGGCAUAGUUGUCCGUAGGGGUGUCAAUGAAUAUUCGAAAACCGACUNNNNNNNNNNNNNNNNNNNNNNNNNNNNNNNNNNNNNNNNNNNNNNNNNNNNNNNNNNNNNNNNNNNNNNNNNNNNNNNNNNNNNNNNNNNNNNNNNNNNNNNNNNNNNNNNNNNNNNNNNNNNNNNNNNNNNNNNNNNNNNNNNNNNNNNNNNNNNNNNNNNNNNNNNNNNNNNNNNNNNNNNNNNNNNNNNNNNNNNNNNNNNNNNNNNNNNNNNNNNNNNNNNNNNNNNNNNNNNNNNNNNNNNNNNNNNNNNNNNNNNNNNNNNNNNNNNNNNNNNNNNNNNNNNNNNNNNNNNNNNNNNNNNNNNNNNNNNNNNNNNNNNNNNNNNNNNNNNNNNNNNNNNNNNNNNNNNNNNNNNNNNNNNNNNNNNNNNNNNNNNNNNNNNNNNNNNNNNNNNNNNNNNNNNNNNNNNNNNNNNNNNNNNNNNNNNNNNNNNNNNNNNNNNNNNNNNNNNNNNNNNNNNNNNNNNNNNNNNNNNNNNNNNNNNNNNNNNNNNNNNNNNNNNNNNNNNNNNNNNNNNNNNNNNNNNNNNNNNNNNNNNNNNNNNNNNNNNNNNNNNNNNNNNNNNNNNNNNNNNNNNNNNNNNNNNNNNNNNNNNNNNNNNNNNNNNNNNNNNNNNNNNNNNNNNNNNNNNNNNNNNNNNNNNNNNNNNNNNNNNNNNNNNNNNNNNNNNNNNNNNNNNNNNNNNNNNNNNNNNNNNNNNNNNNNNNNNNNNNNNNNNNNNNNNNNNNNNCUUGAUUAUUUUUUGGAUCCAAUGACACCGGCAAGAAUGGUAUCGAAAAAGAAAAAUAGAAAAAAUGGUUAAUUUUUUUCAUGUAGUUAAUAUCCAAUGAUUAUCUAUAUUUAGUGAGAAAGUGUAAAUUUUAAGAUUAUUUACAUACAAUCUAAAUAACUUAAAUAUUUGACAUGAUUAGUGUCUGCGCAUCCACGCGGGUACUAAUACUAGUUAGAGAUAAAUUGAAAAACGUUCCUUUUUCUUCUCUUCUAAUUUUCUUUCUCUUUCAUAAAAUUAAUUGUAUAAUAGAUGAGCAAUCCUAAUUCUAAAUAAAGGUCAAGUUUUGUAACUUAUUGUGCGUGACCAUUGAAUAAGGCAUAUGCAUUAUACAAUUAUUAUAAUUUUUGUAUAAUUAAAAUUUUCUAAUGAAAUUCGAAACAUACUAAAAUUAUUUCAUAAAUUUUUCAUGUAUAUUGAUAUAUAUCUUAUGUAUGUUUUACCUAUUUUGUAAAUAUACUAGGAAUAUUUUAUAAAUAACAUGCAUAAAUAAAUAUAUACACAUGUGAAAAUGUGGCUGGGGCCAACUGGGAUUCUAUUAUGGAAUAUAAAAUAUUUGCUACCAUGUUUUAAAUCUUGUACAAUUAUGUUUUCUUCUUUUAAUUUGAUCAUUAUUAACUUAAAUUAUAUAGUUAACAUUUGUACAAAUAAUUAGUUGGACAUAUGUGCUCUCAAAAAUCCAUUUUUUUAAAACGCAAAUUUCUUCCCAUAAUUCAAAUCUUAAGAGUUUUUGUUUCCUAUAAAACAAUAGUAGUAUAAAUUUUCAUAAUCAAUAAUUGAAGCUAAAAUCAUCUAACUUUAUUAUAUGCAUCUUUAUAAUCUUAUAAAGAUAAUAUUAAAAUCUUUAUUUGAGUUAACAAUUUUCCUGAGUAACAUAGAGUCUAAUUUGACGUAAAACCGAAAAACAAGUGUCCUCUUCUUCUAUUUAUUUCACAUGUAAAUAGUUUAAAUUAGCUUAUAUUCCUUCCCCUAAAAAAUAAAUGUCAUUUUAUUUGGCUAAAUAUAUGUGGCCAAAAUAAAUGUUGCUUUGAGAAAUUAAAACGACGUUAGUAAUGUUUUUUAAAUCUAUUUUCGAUCUAAUAAAUUGCCCAUAGAGUAUAAUGAUUAAUUUGACUAUAAUAUAAAACAUAACUUAAUUAAAUAAAUCUUAUAAUUAUUGUUUUGUAUGAUUUUUUUAAUGAACAUACAAUGAUCCCAAUAUAUGGGGUCUGGGGAGGGUAGUCUGUACGCAAACCUUACCCCUACCUAAUGCAGGUAGAGAAGUUGUUUCAAUAGACUCUCGGCUCAGAAAGGACAAGAAGGAGAAUUAAUGAACGUACAAAAAGAUUAAAAUAAAAUUUAUUUUAGACAUGAAGUAAUAUUAAAUGUGAAUCUAAUUAUAGUUGCGUUAGAUAACUUGGCAUUGCAACAAAAGUAGAUUGUCAAUGCUUAUAAGUAAAACAAAAAUUUUAUAACUCCUGCUAAUUCACACAAUAUGAUCAUGAAAACCAGCUCCUUUUAAAUUUUAAUUUUCUAUUAAUAGCUGACACCAAUAAAAUUAUGACUUUAAGUGACUUAAGAAUAACUUUAGUAUCCGUUGAAGAUGAACUCGGUUUAACUCUAGUAUACACAUCUUUAUGACUUCAAUAUAAUUCCUACUAAAUUGAUAACGCUUUAUUGAUUAACGCUGGUCAAAUAGCAUCUAUUUUAUUGAGAGGUCUUAACCAUAUAUACUAAGGUUAACAUACAUAAGAUAGUCAGAGAUAUAAAACCUAUUUUAUUUAAAGAAAAAAGAGCAUCCAUGGAAGUUUAGUUGUAAACGACAACAAAAAUAAUCCUAGCAUAACAAAAGGAAAAAAUAUGUAACUCAAUAACCUCACCUAAGAAUAUAAAAAUCAAUUAAUCAAUUUCACGUAAACAUAAAAUGAAAAAUAUACUGUUUGACAAUAAGGUAAACUUGUCAGGUUCAACAAUUUAAACUUUUAAACUAUUAAGAUGAGUGACAAAAUUAUUAAUAAGUUACAAACAACAUCUUUAAUGAGUGACAAAACUUCAAGUAACAACUCCAAAGCAAAUUACAAGAGUAAUUUGUCUGAUUCAUACUAGCAGACCCGUGAUUUUAUGUAAGUGGGUUCAAUCUUAGAAGUACAUAACUUUAAUCGUAAAAUAGUAGUUGUCAAUUGGAUUCAAAUAAAAUAUUUAUACAAAAUUUACGUAAAUUUAUUUGUAAUUUAUAUAUACACACAAUAUUAUUUUUUGAUGAAGCGGGUUCAACUGAACCCGUUUUCCACCAUGUGCGUCCGCCAAUGCUGAUACAUGUGAAAUUUAAUUUAGAAAUUAUAUGAACUUCCUAUUGUAAGAAGAGAGUUUACACUAUAUAUAUCGUAUUGUAAGAUCAAUUCCUUUAUCACAUUCAGAGUUUGCAAGAUUUAUAACAUAAAAUAUUAACAUUUUUUUUAUCUCUGAUAAAACAUUAAAUUUUGUUAUUUUAAAAAUUAUUAAAUUUAUUUAAUAUAAACGACUUUUACCUAAACUUAAAUAUUGGCCUUAUGCACGGGCAUCAACUCGCGUAUUACUAAGAAGAAAGAAGAACGGCUCCUCGUCUCCCAUGUCGGCCUCUGGAACUCUUAAUAUAACCGCCGACAGACAAAACCGGCUGGUCUCUCACUGUUUCUUAUCCUCAGAAUUAUUAUGAACAUAAACUAAAGUACCUAUCUCUUGUUUUCUCAUUUCACACCAUUUUUUUCUUCACUUCACACUUGGUCUCAAUCAAAUAAAAAACAGCAACCGCCUUAGCUUGUUGUCUUCUUCACUACUCCACUUGUCCCUAGAGUUCCCCAAAAAUAUCAAGCUAAGAAAAAGUUAACUAAAGAAGAGAAUAUAUGGGAGCUGAGGUUUCUUUCAUAAGCUGACCGACUCUUUAUUUGGCGGCGCUUAUUUUAUUUAUUACUUCAAAAGAAAAGUUCUUUUUGUUUUCCUUUUUUAUAAUUUUCAACUCCCAACUUGUGUGUGUUGUCUAAAUGUCUAUAUAUAAAUAUGUAUAUAACGGUUUGUUUAAGAAACUUGCAUUGGUACUGGUUUGUUCUUGUCAACCUUCUUGACUAGUAUAUAUAUUGUAAACUUUUGUGUCUCUGUAUUGGAGAUUUUUGUUUGAGUUCUCUUUUUGAAUAUUGCAUGUGUAUUUACAAGGUGGCGAAUUCAAGAGACAAAAUAUCUAACAGGAGAAGACAUGAAGAUAGGGAUAGAGAUGAUAAUUAUAAUGUGUUGGAAUCGAUGUUUUCGGGUAAUAUUAAUAGGGAACAGGAGAUGUCUGUAAUGGUUUCUGCACUAAAACAUGUUGUUGCUGGUGAAGAUAGAUUGAAUCACCAAAUCUUGACUGAUGAAAAUGGUGCAGCUGAGAAUAAUCUUGGUUCAGGUUUUUCUUCAGUUUCUUGGGGGGUUGGUGAGAAAAGAGGACGUGAACAACGGCAAAGUAGUCAGCAAUUCUUACAUAUUGGAAGUUCUGAUAUGAGAUCAUCAGGUAUUUUUAUUUUACUUUACUUUUUUUUUUGAAAAAAAUGACACCGCCGUAAAAAUAAUAACCGAAAAAAGUGUAUAAAAUUUGUAUAAUUUUUGCGUUAUAUAUAUACAUUCUGUAUGUUAUAUACAAAAAUUAUACAAAUAGUUAACAAAUUUGUAUAUAAAAAUUAUACAAAUUUUAUACAUUUUUCGGCUACCACAUAUAAAUAGUUUCUGGCGCCGGCUAAAAGUGAUAAUACCCCUUUUUUCCUUAAAGUUUUGGAUUUUCUUUUAGUUUAUGUUGUGUUUUCAGUGGGUAUUUUGAAAACAUAAUUAACUAGUGGCCAAUGUAGCAUUAUACGGAUUCAAUUGAAUCCAUAGCUUUCGAGGCAUAAAAUAAAUUUAUGUGUAAAAUUUCAUUAAAGUUAUAAGAUAUAGUAGAAUUUGAACCCAUAUAACAGAUAUGAACCCAUAACUUUAAAAAUACAAUAUGUUCAAUGCUAGAAUCUUAAAUGUUCAACCCACAAAAUUUAAAUUUUGGAUCCGCCUCUGAUUAUUAAAAGUAUAUUUUCUCUAACGGUUUAAUUAACAUUUAGAUAAGAUGAUCAAACAUUAAUACUAUGAUAUUAGAGUGGGUAUAAGUUCCGGGCUGAAGCUUAAAUAUUUAGAUGAAACAGACACACAAUUCAAUAGUUUGGAUGUGUUGCAGGAAUCAUUAUUGCUAAAUAACAGCUAAAUGUAGAUGAGAAUAAAUGGAUUAAAAGAUUUGGUUGAUCUUCUAUGUGAGUUGUAUUCAUUCUGCAUUUUAUUUAGAAGUAAAUUGCUGCAGAUGCCUUUGUUUUUAGUUUUGAUUCUUGCCAUUUUCUCCAUUAAAAAAAUGCACUUGAAACAUACAAUAUAAAUCAAGUGUGUGACUUUUCACUAUAUUGAUUUUUAGUACAUUAUUAAUGAAAGAUACAAUUAGGUGGAUGUGUACGUGCUUCAUUAUCACA
rnacentral:lncRNA from 1 species